rnacentral:tRNA from 1 species
GGCGGCAUGGCCAAGUGGUAAGGCAGGGGACUGCAAAUCCUUUAUCCUCAGUUCGAAUCUGGGUGUCGCCUGAUCAACAAA